GUAGGUGGCAAGCGUUGUCCGGGAAUUAUUGGGGCGUAAAGCGCGCGCAGGCGGUUCUUUAAGUCUGAUGUGAAAGCCCACGGGCUCAACCGUGGAGGGUCAUUGGAAACUGGAGAACUUGAGUACAGAAGAGGAAAGCGGAAUUCCACGUGUAGCGGUGAAAUGCGUAGAGAUGUGGAGGAACACCAGUGGCGAAGGCGGCUUUCUGGUCUGUAGCUGACGCUGAGGCGCGAAAGCGUGGGGAGCAAACAGGAUUAGAUACCCUGGUAGUCCACGCCGUAAACGAUGAGUGCUAAGUGUUAGGGGGUUUCCGCCCCUUAGUGCUGCAGCUAACGCAUUAAGCACUCCGCCUGGGGAGUACGGCCGCAAAGGCUG
rnacentral:rRNA from 1 species